rnacentral:lncRNA from 1 species
UGUGCUAUAGCAAACAUGAGCAUCAGGAUUUCUGUCAGGGAGGAGAUGUGCCACCCAAGUCAUGGCGGCUCUUUGUGGAGCACUGACAGUUCCAGUGAGUCCAGUGUUUCAGUCUGCAUGUAGGACCAACUCGUGUCUCUCCUCAGGAGUGUGAACACAGGCACUGCAGAGGCCUCUGUGAGUCGGGCAGAGCAUGACACACACAGGAAACACUCCUGUGUUGCCUGAGAUCUGCCCGUCCCAGGGCCACAUUCGUCUGGACACAACACGCUGUACCCACGGGUGACCCUUGUGACUGCCCAAGGACAGAAGAGAAACGCAAAGAAAUGCUCAGCCCAGACAAAAGCCCAUUCAGCCCACGCAACUAGAUAUUGUGAACUCCAGGAGGAGGAAGAGAGAAAACAGAGAGCCUGUUAUUUCAUGGAGCAGGAAAAAAAAAAGCUACACCUUGAAGGUGAAUGAUGGAUAUUAUUAUAAGCGAGGUGUAGCUCAGGGCAGGUGAGCGGUGUGUUAAUGAGACGCCACCUCCUGCUUCCUGACAGAUGACUGUCAUUGUUCAAAUGCUGCCGUCAGCCUGAUUGAUGGUUGGGUCAGCCUGCCCUGCAGUUGGAAUGCACUGCCUUCUCUCUUCUGCUGAUGUCUCUAAUCUGCUGACCCGAAGAUGACCCAGCAGAGGUGGAGCUGAAAUUAACAUGUCAUUUUCUCUAGUUAAAUUAAAAAGGUGGUGGGGGGGGGGGCAGCAGAGAGGAGGAAGGGAAAAUUCGAAACAGAGAACGUAUACAGCGCAGUUGUGGAAAUAUGAGUCCUUGCAGGUCCUAAUACAUCCCAGGAAGGAUAAUAUGUUUCUAAUAAAGAUUGAAAACACAUGGUAACAUUCACUCAUGUCAUGUCAGUUUAGCCCAUCUUGAAAAGCACUCAGGAUCUCUCCAAGGAAGACAGCACAGGUAGGCAGCUGUCCUGGUCCAUUGCCGUGCAGUCGGCACCAG